GGAAGGGUGGCAGAGUGGUCGAUUGCACCGGUCUUGAAAACCGGCGAUGUGCAAGCAUCCGUGGGUUCGAAUCCCACCCCUUCCGCCA
rnacentral:tRNA from 8 species